UACGUAGGGGGCAAGCGUUGUCCGGAUUUAUUGGGCGUAAAGAGCGUGUAGGCGGCCGUACAGGUCAGCUGUGAAAACUCGAGGCUCAACCUCGAGACGUCGGUUGAAACCGUACGGCUAGAGUCCGGAAGAGGAGAGUGGAAUUCCCGGUGUAGCGGUGAAAUGCGCAGAUAUCGGGAAGAACACCCGUGGCGAAGGCGGCUACCUGGACAGAAACUGACGCUGAGGCGCGAAAGCUAGGGGAGCAAACAGG
rnacentral:rRNA from 1 species